rnacentral:misc_RNA from 1 species
AAAGAAACCGAAUAGGCACCAGGUUGAUUCCUUGGCCAACUGCUGAAGAAUUGUCAAAGCAAUGUUGGGUUUUAGUUGUUCUUGGAUAGUGAGCCCUUUUAGAACUUCGCUAAGUAAUAAAAGAAGAGGCCUUUUGUGAAAGGCUGAGGAGGAAACCGGAAGAGACAAGCUCGAACUCUUCUUUAAAUGGUUUGUUUUGUGUUUUUGAAUUGCAAAUAGGAGCUGCUUGGGUUGUUUGGAAUCAACAGGAGGCAGCACAGGAAG